GUCCACGCCGUAACGAUGGGCACUAGGUGUCGGGGUAUCCACUCCCUCGGUGCCGCCGCUAACGCAUUAAGUGUCCCGCCUGGGAAGUACGGUCGCAAGAUUAAAACUCAAAGGAAUUGACGGGGCCCGCACAAGCGGUGGAGCAUGUGGUUCAAUUCGAUGCAACGCGAAGAACCUUACCUGGGUUUGACAUCUGGCGAAUGUUCCUGAAAGGGAGCAGUGCCCGCAAGGGAACGCCAAGACAGGUGCUGCAUGGCUGUCGU
rnacentral:rRNA from 1 species